GGCAGUGUGGCUUAGUGGAAACUGCAUGGGACUGGGAGUCAAGAGACCUGGGUUCUAAUCCUGGCUCUGCCA
rnacentral:tRNA from 1 species